rnacentral:rRNA from 1 species
UACGGAGGAUCCGAGCGUUAUCCGGAUUUAUUGGGUUUAAAGGGUGCGUAGGCGGGACCAUAAGUCAGCGGUGAAAGUUUUCGGCUCAACCGGAAAAUUGCCGUUGAAACUGUGGUUCUUGAGUGCAGAAGAGGUAGGCGGAAUUCGUUGUGUAGCGGUGAAAUGCGUAGAUAUAACGAAGAACACCAAUUGCGUAGGCAGCUUACCAUACUGCAACUGACGCUGAGGCACGAAAGUGUGGGUAUCAAACAGGAUUAGAUACCCCUGUAGUCCCUGAG